CGAACGGGUGAGUAACGCGUGAGGAACCUGCCUCAAAGAGGGGGACAACAGUUGGAAACGACUGCUAAUACCGCAUAAGCCCACGGCUCGGCAUCGAGCAGAGGGAAAAGGAGCAAUCCGCUUUGAAAUGGCCUCGCGUCCGAUUAGCUAGUUGGUGAGGUAAUGGCCCACCAAGGCGACGAUCGGUAGCCGGACUGAGAGGUUGAACGGCCACAUUGGGACUGAGACACGGCCCAGACUCCUACGGGAGGCAGCAUG
rnacentral:rRNA from 1 species